rnacentral:rRNA from 1 species
GACGAACGCUGGCGGCGUGCUUAACACAUGCAAGUCGAACGGAAAGGCCCUGCUUUUGUGGGGUGCUCGAGUGGCGAACGGGUGAGUAACACGUGAGUAACCUGCCCUUGACUUUGGGAUAACUUCAGGAAACUGGGGCUAAUACCGGAUAGGAGCUCCUGCUGCAUGGUGGGGGUUGGAAAGUUUCGGCGGUUGGGGAUGGACUCGCGGCUUAUCAGCUUGUUGGUGGGGUAGUGGCUUACCAAGGCUUUGACGGGUAGCCGGCCUGAGGGGGUGACCGGCCACAUUGGGCCUGAGAUACGGCCCAGACUCCUACGGGAGGCAGCAGUGGGGAAUAUUGCACAAUGGGCGGAAGCCUGAUGCAGCAACGCCGCGUGCGGGAUGACGGCCUUCGGGUUGUAAACCGCUUUCGCCUGUGACGAAGCGUGAGUGACGGUAAUGGGUAAAGAAGCACCGGCUAACUACGUG